AUGUUUUACAUUUCUAAAUAUAAAGACAAGUAUAAGAAUCUAGCAGGCGUCCCCAAACUGCGGCCCGCGGGCUGCAUGCUGUCCCCUAAGGCCGUUUAUCCUGGCCCCCGCCGCACUUCAGGAAGGGGCACCUCUUUCAUUGGUGGAAAUUCCCAGCAGAGGAGCCCCACGGGUCGCCAGCACGACUCUUGUGACCAGCGAGGCAGUUUUGCCGGUGCCUUGGAGCGUCGGUUCUUGGUGCAGAGUCAGAAAAGCACCAUCAAUCUUACUGCCGCUGUUUUAGUCGGCACACCCACUUUUGAUACUUCCGCUGAAUUUGAAAUUGGUAUGUUUGUAGAAAGGAGAAUAAAUAAUUUAAAAUCUGAGUGGAGAGUCAGAGCCUGUGCGGAGGCGACCGGUGUAUCCAGCCGGGGACAGCAGCCGGGAGUCACGAGCGACAGCGGCGAGCAGAAGGACGGCGAGAGGGAAUCCCGUUCUGCUUCCAGAGUGGAAGUGCUCACAGACUGGGGACAUCUGCAAGGUCUACCCCUGCAAGGUCUCGCUCCAAGGAAGAUUCCAGGUGUUCCAGAUCAAAGUCCAGGUCCAGCUCUGAAUCUAGGUCCAGGUCCAGAAGAAGGUGAAGGCGUUAUACCCGGCCAGGGUCUCGAUCCCGCUCCCAUAGACGAUCGCGCAGCAGGCCUCACAGGGAGACCAUCGCAGACCGCACAGCUGCAGUCAUUCUUCCACGUCCCCUCGCAGGCGUCGUGUUGGGAAUCGGGCAAAUCCUGAUCCUAACUGUUGUCUUGGAGUAUUGGAGUUGAGCCUGUACACCACAGAAAGAGAUCUAAGAGAAGUGUUCUCUAAAUAUGGUCCCAUUGCUGAUGUGUCUAUUGUCCAUGACCAGCGGUCUAGGCGUUCAGGAGGAUUUGCCUUUGUAUAGCGUGAAAAUGUAGAUGAUGCCAAGGAAGCUAAAGAACGUGCCAAUGGAAUGGAGCUUGAUGGGCGUAGGAUCAGAGUUGAUUUCUCUAUAACAAAAAGACCACAUACUCCCACACCAGGAAUUUACACUUGGAGACCUACCUAUGGCAGCUCUCCGCGUCGGGAUUGCUAUGACAGAGGAUAUGAUAGGGGCUAUGAUGAUCAGGACUACUAUAGCAGAUCCUACAGAGGAGGAGGUGGAGGAGGAGGAGGAUGGAGAGCUGCUCAAGACAGGGAUCAGAUUUACAGAAGACGGUCACCUUCUCCUUACUGUAGCCGUGGAGGAUACAGACCACGUUCCAGAUCUCGAUCAUACUCACCUCAUCACUAUUAAAGCAUGAAGACUUUCUGAAACCUGCCCUAGAGCUGGGAUAUUGUUUGUGGACAAUAUUUUUUAUUGUCUCUUGUUUAAAAAGUAAACAGUGCCUAGUGAAGUUAGAUGACUUUUACACCUUUUAUGAUGACCACUUUUGGUGGAGCUGAAAUGCUGUUUUCAUUCUGCAUUCGUGUAGUUCGCUGCUUUGUUCAAAGUUAAGUGUUUUCAGAAAAGUAUGUUUUGCAUGUAUUUUUUUACAGUCUAAAUUUUGACUGCUGAGAAGUUUCUAUUGUACAAAAACUUCAUUUAAAAGUUUUUUCUACUGAAUCCAGGGUACUCUGAAGAUCGAAGCCUGUGUAAAAUGCUAACAAAUGGCAAAAAGCAACAAUAAACAGUUUG